rnacentral:rRNA from 1 species
CCUACGGGUGGCAGCAGUGAGGAAUAUUGGUCAAUGGCCGAGAGUCUGAACCAGCCAAGUCGCGUGAAGGAUGACUGCCCUAUGGGUUGUAAACUUCUUUUAUAUGGGAAUAAAGUGUUCCACGUGUGGGAUUUUGUAUGUACCAUAAGAAUAAGGAUCGGCUAACUCCGUGCCAGCAGCCGCGGUAAUACGGAGGAUCCGAGCGUUAUCCGGAUUUAUUGGGUUUAACGGGAGGUGAGGUGGAUUGUUAAGUCAGUUGUGAAAGUCUGCGGCUCAACCGUAAAAGUGCAGUUGAAACUGGCAGUCUUGAGUACAGUAGAGGUAGGCGGAAUUCGUGGUGUAGCGGUGAAAUGCUUAGAUAUCACGAAGAACUCCGAUUGCGAAGGCAGCUUACUGGACUGCAACUGACACUGAGGCUCGAAAAUGUGGGUAUCAAACAGGAUUAGAUACCCGAGUAGUC